rnacentral:rRNA from 1 species
GGCAUAGAUCUUUUGCAGCGCUUAUUGCGCGGCGAAAACCUUACACACUAUGUUUUUUUAAUUUGAAACUAUUGCUUUGGUCUGGCUUAGAAAUAGGUUGGGCCAAAGGUUUUAUCAAAACUUCAAUAUUUAUUAUUGAAUUGUUAUUUUUAAUUUUAUGUCAAUUUGUUGAUUAAUAUCAAAAAUCUUCAAAACUUUCAACAACGGAUCUCUUGGUUCUCGCAUCGAUGAAGAACGCAGCGAAAUGCGAUAAGUAAUAUGAAUUGCAGAUUUUCGUGAAUCAUCGAAUCUUUGAACGCACAUUGCGCCCUUUGGUAUUCCAAAGGGCAUGCCUGUUUGAGCGUCAUUUCUCUCUCAAAUCUUCGGAUUUGGUUUUGAGUGAUACUCUUAGUCAGACUAAGCGUUUGCUUGAAAUGUAUUGGCAUGAGUGGUACUAGAUAGUGCUGAACUGUUUUCAAUGUAUUAGGUUUAUCCAACUCAUUGACCAGUAAAGUAUUUGUUUAUUACACAGGCUCGGCCUUACAACAACAAACAAAGUUUGACCUCAAAUCAGGUAGGACUACCCGCUGAACUUAAGCAUAUCAAAGGGGGG